AUUGAACGCUGGCGGUAGGCCUAACACAUGCAAGUCGAACGGCAGCACAGUAAGAGCUUGCUCUUACGGGUGGCGAGUGGCGGACGGGUGAGGAAUACAUCGGAAUCUACUUUUUCGUGGGGGAUAACGUAUGGAAACUUACGCUAAUACCGCAUACGACCUACGGGUGAAAGCAGGGGAUCUUCGGACCUUGCGCGAUUGAAUGAGCCGAUGUCGGAUUAGCUAGUUGGCGGGGUAAAGGCCCACCAAGGCGACGAUCCGUAGCUGGUCUGAGAGGAUGAUCAGCCACACUGGAACUGAGACACGGUCCAGACUCCUACGGGAGGCAGCAGUGGGGAAUAUUGGACAAUGGGCGCAAGCCUGAUCCAGCCAUACCGCGUGGGUGAAGAAGGCCUUCGGGUUGUAAAGCCCUUUUGUUGGGAAAGAAAAGCAGCAGGUUAAUACCCCGCUGUUCUGACGGUACCCAAAGAAUAAGCACCGGCUAACUUCGUG
rnacentral:rRNA from 1 species